GAAAUCCCUCGGGAUGUAAACUUCGCAAGAACGGGAAGAAUAAGUAGGGGACAAUACCCCCUAUGAUGACGGUACCGUUUGUAAGCUCCGGCUAACUCCGUGCCAGCAGCCGCGGUAAUACGGGGGGAGCAAGCGUUGUUCGGAUUUACUGGGCGUAAAGGGCGCGUAGGCGGCCAGCACAAGUCAGUUGUGAAAUCUCCGAGCUUAACUCGGAAAGGUCAACUGAUACUGUGCGGCUAGAGUGCGGAAGGGGCAACUGGAAUUCUUGGUGUAGCGGUGAAAUGCGUAGAUAUCAAGAGGAACACCUGCGGCGAAGGCGGGUUGCUGGGCCGACACUGACGCUGAGGCGCGAAAGCUAGGGGAGCGAACGGGAUUAGAUACCCCGGUAGUCCUAGCCUUAAACGAUGAAUGCUUGGUGUCUGGGGUUAUAAAGUCCCCGGGUGCCGUCGCUAACGCUUUAAGCAUUCCGCCUGGGGAGUACGGUCGCAAGACUGAAACUCAAAG
rnacentral:rRNA from 1 species